CCUACGGGAGGCAGCAGUGGGGAAUAUUGGGCAAUGGGCGCAAGCCUGACCCAGCAACGCCGCGUGAAGGAAGAAGGCUUUCGGGUUGUAAACUUCUUUUCUCAGGGACGAAGCAAGUGACGGUACCUGAGGAAUAAGCCACGGCUAACUACGUGCCAGCAGCCGCGGUAAUACGUAGGUGGCAAGCGUUAUCCGGAUUUACUGGGUGUAAAGGGCGUGUAGGCGGGACUGCAAGUCAGAUGUGAAAACCACGGGCUCAACCUGUGGCCUGCAUUUGAAACUGUAGUUCUUGAGUACUGGAGAGGCAGACGGAAUUCCUAGUGUAGCGGUGAAAUGCGUAGAUAUUAGGAGGAACACCAGUGGCGAAGGCAGCAUACCGGCGGCGAUCUGACGCUGAGGCACGAAAGCGUGGGUAUCGAACAGGAUUAGAUACCCCUGUAGUC
rnacentral:rRNA from 1 species